UUGAACAUAGUAAGGCAGUAUUUCAUAGAAAUAUCUUGCUAUUUUUUUACAUAUAUACUUUAAAAAGUAGGCAUUUAUACUACAAGGCACAGCAUAUUCUUUUUGCUCAAGUGUUUUCCUGGUAUGCAAAGUUUGAGUUGUACAAGUUUGAGUAAGUGACAGACAGUUCUUGAUUUUAAAAGUGUGUGUCAAAUUUUUUAAAGAAUGCUCCCAAAAUAAGUGCUUCAGGACCUAGCAUUGGGUGAGGGGGCUGUAGGAUAAUUUAGUUGCCUUCAUUUCACAGUCACUAUGAGUUUUUAAAUUGGAGGGCAGAAGCAAGACAAGUGCAUUUUGUAAUUCACAUAAAAAUAGUUCCAUAACACAUUGUUAUCAUUACGAAGAGGAGAAUGUUCAUUCUGCCUUCACUUUAUGCCAUAUGGGUAGAAUGGAGAUAAUUCUGCUGGACAGAAUUAUAUUUUGAAGCAAAUACAUGCUUGUAGGGUGCCUCCAUUUCAUUUGGAGCUGAGGAAAAUUUCAUGAGGGUUCUUUAGUUUUCUAUGGGAGAGUUUCUACCAGCGAUGUCACAACACAGCUAGAUUAAGUUGAUACGUAAUAUCUAUUUCUUGAUUUGCAUGAUUAAAGCAUUAGAGAAGUGGCUCAGAUAUCAAAAGGUUUCUCAUAAGUGGCAGCGCCAAAGGUAAUUACUGUUAAAAUGUACAUGCUCGAAACCUGGUUGCUUGUUAACUUCUAAGUUGUUUACAACUCUGUGGGUUUGAAUAAACGUUUUUAUUUGACUUUUCAAUAGCAAGACCCCUUUCUUGCUCCAUUUCGAUAUAAAAAAUGAUACCAUUCUUAUAUCCCAUGUCCCUCAAGGCAACCUUAGCUUCAACCAAAAAAAGUGAUAGAGGACAGAGAUGGCCCUUCUCAGUAUUUCAUAUUUUAAAAUAACUGUUUCUUAAACAAAAGUAGUCUUUUAAAGACAAAGUUAAAAUUUAUACCUAAAAAAAUUAAAAAUUAAUCGAGUCAACCAAUUAUUUCCAGUUAGUUAUCAAAAAGUGUAGCUAAAGCCCUACUGUAAGCCUGAGGGAGUUAUGAGGGGGGUGGGGAGAGAGAGGAAAAGAGAGAGGGAAGGAGAAGAGAGGUUGUUAUUCUCAGUCUUUUAUUAACCAGUUUCUUUCAUCCUAGUGUGUCUUUAUUAUUUAGAAAAAUAAAAAUCAUCCAGAGCUCUACCCAUUCCCACCUAAAAUUCUGGAGUAGGUAGUGACUGUCUACAACCUGGUACAACAUAUGCCCCCAAACUAAAACAAACAAACUCAUUUGCCAUACAAAUUGUUUACGAUUCAUUAAAAAGCAAAAUUGCAUAUCCCGUCGCUGGCAGCUGAGGCCGUGUCUCCACGGGCGGAGGGGGCAUUCACUGAGUUGCCUUUGUAUGCUGGGAGGACCAAGCCGGAGGUUCCCACUAUGAGCCCGGAGUCUGUGCAGCCAGAUGACGCAUGAGGACUGCUUCUGGCCACAGGAUAUGCCUGGUCCAGGAAAUGGCCACAUUUCCUCCCUCAGGACCUCUGCUUGUAUGGGCUGUCUUGGAAAUAAGGUCCUCCACAAUCUCAUCUACAACUGUGGCACCUGAAUAAGCUGGAGUCUUUCCCUUCCUCUGGGCUUCUACACACGCCAUUCCUUAUUUCCAGAUACUUUCUUUUUUCAUGGUGGCCAUGGGAGAACCUCGUCCUUCUGUGAGAUUCUGCCUCAUCUGACACUCCUUAUACUGGAUUGGAAACCCGUUCAAUCUGACAUUUGCUGAGGAAUGGAGAAGGACCAAUGGUGAUUUCUCCAGGCUCACUCCUGUGCCCCUCCUUGCAUUGCAAGUGCUUUACAAGUCUUCCUGAUAGACCAGGAGCAUCCUGAGGUCUAGUAUCAAAUGUAACUCAUCUCCUAUCCUCAGGGCCUAGUACAGGAUGCUGGAUGUAGGAGGAGUUCAGUAAGUAUAUGCUAUAUAAAUGACAAAUGAAUGAGUGAAUAAAUAAGUAAAGGAAUGACUUGAUUCUUCCUCUACCACCAAUUCAGAAGACUUGGCUGAAAGGGUGGGAGAGGGAAUUAGGAUUCUGUAAAGAAGACCAUGAUUGAGUUUUGAGGAAAAAAUAAAAACUUCAAACAAAGAA